rnacentral:misc_RNA from 1 species
GUUGGUGAACCAGCGGAGGGAUCAUUACAGAGUUGAAAAACUCCAACCCCUGUGAACCUACCUUUACUGUUGCUUCGGCGGACGAUGGCCCCCUCGGGGCCAGAGGCCGCCGUAGGUUACAAACCCUGAAUUUUAGUGUAUCUCUGAGUACAAAAACAAAUAAUUAAAACUUUCAACAACGGAUCUCUUGGUUCUGGCAUCGAUGAAGAACGCAGCAUCUGACUGACUCAUCGUAUCAACAUCUCGUAUG